GGGGUGCAGCAGUCGCGAAACUCCGCAAUGCACGAAAGUGUGACGGGGCUACCCCGAGUGCCGUCUGCUGAGGAUGGCUUUUCCUCGGUGUAACUAGCCGGGGGAAUAAGGAGAGGGCAAGACUGGUGCCAGCCGCCGCGGUAAUACCAGCGGCCCUAGUGGUGAUCGUUAUUAUUGGGCCUAAAGCGUCCGUAGCCGGUUCGGUAAAUCUCUGGGUAAAUCGUUGGGCUUAACUCAACGAAUUCUGGGGAGACUGCCGGACUUGGGACCGGGAGAGGUCGGAGGUACUCCAGGGGUAGGGGUGAAAUCCUGUAAUCCUUGGGGGACCACCGGUGGCGAAAGCGUCCGACCAGAACGGGUCCGACGGUAAGGGACGAAGCCCUGGGGCGCGAACCGGAUUAGAUACCCGCGUAGUCCA
rnacentral:rRNA from 1 species